UUUAGUAACUGAAGUGUUCGCCUAUUAAUUGUUUGUGCAUAAAUCUAUAUGGAGUCUAACUGUCUAACCAGUAACCAGCAUUAUAUUUGCACGUUCGAAGCGUAGAUAUUAGUAUAUCUAAUACUAUAAAGUAGGCUUCUUUAUCUCCUUGUGGCAUAACUUAAUAUAUGUGAUAGAUCCACAUAAAGCUGUGUUCGGGUUUAAUGAUUUCUGUUAGGCUUUGUGUUUUUUUAGAUUACAUUUCGUAUGGGUUUACAUUUAGAUUGCAGGCCCAGAGUUGAGCAAACAAUUUUGUCUCCUCAAAUAAUUAUGUCCAAAUUCUCUGAUUCAACACCACGGGAGAAGGACGGAUUGGUUUACAGCAUCCUGAUGGAGCCCUUUUCCGGCAAGAGUCUUCACGAUUUACCGGAUUGAGCAAUCAAAUCAUGCCAAGUCAGAUUCUUAGGGGCAGAAGAGUUAAGCAUUUGCCAUGUCAUGGAAGGAACGAGCUUUUAAACCUAAUUAUGGGGAAAACGCUAUUUACUGGAUUCAGCAGAGGCAGUGGUAACAGCUUAGAGCUUCUAUAAUGGCUGAGAAAGAUGAAGAAUCUUUGUGCCUCGAGAUGAAACAAUGAGAAGUAGCAUGAUAAUCUCCUUUUCAACAACCAUCAUGAGUUCAGGACUCCAUUAACACUACGUUUUUUUUUUUUUCUAAUUUGUGGAGACAGCCCUGAUGUCUCCUGAUUUGGUUAUGGUUCUGUAGGUUCAAAGCCUAGAAUUUCACCAGUGUCCAAUAUCUAACAAGGAAGACUAUUAGAUUCUUUAAAAAUAUGAUUGGGUAAAUGGCUGUAGAAUGUUCAAGUAACGCCUACAUUAUUGAAUAUGUAACAGGUGCUACGUACUCAAAAGUCCGGACGUGUGGAGAAAUAUGAUUGAGUUUGGAUUUGAACUGGAGAUCCAUUCAUCCAUCGUUUACAAGUGUGGUGGAGUGUAACAGGUACUACUAAAUGUACAGACAUGUGGAGAAACUAGCAAAAGAGAUGUGCUGCUUCUGUUGCUGGUGUCGCUGCCAAACUAUGGCAGGUACCAGAGACGCUCCAACAAGAUCUGCUCUCUAAAAUGAGUGCACCGCCAAAGAAUGAUGCUCCUCUUAUCACCCCCAACGACCUUGCCGAGGCUGAUGGGUUUGUCUUUGGCUUCCCAACAAGGUUCAGUAUGAUGGCUGCUCAGUUCAUAGCUUUCUUAGAUGCAACUGGUGGUCUCUGGAGGACUCAACAACUUGCUGGUAAGCCAGCCGGAAUAUUCUACAGCACCAGGGUUUCGAGGUGGUGGUCAAGAAACCACCGCGUACGUUUCUUUUCCAAACGAAACCUCAUCAAAGACACUUCAGGUUCUUACGUUUUUGAGUGUUUACUUGUGUUGUGUCAUUAAUUUCUAACACGAUUUUUUUGUGAUCUUUGUAAGUAGGAGUCAAAAACUAUCUUUAGAACUAACUCUAUUUUUAUAAAUCUUAUACCAG